CAAGAGGGCUCGCGAUGCCCGGUGCUCUGCUUCUCUCCCCAAGCGGCUCCAACGGCCAGCGCCGGGCCAGGCAGAAGCCAGGAGGCUUGACCUCCAUUCAGGGCGCCCAGGAGGCCGGGAGGCGUGGUCCCUGGGUCACAGGCUGGAGAGGCCGCCCCGCCUGCAGCCCUGGGGCUUCGGACGCUGGACGCGGCAGGCAGCGCGGAGGUGCGUCCCGCGGCGCCACGGUGGCCGCCCAUGGGGAGUGCGCCUGCGCCCGGCGCUGUGACCCGGAAGUGGCCCCUUGUGCCCCGGAAGUGGCCCCUCGUGGCCCGCGGCGCUCAGGUAGGAGUCCUCGCGGGUCCCGUCCGCUGCUGCCGGAGAGCCCGCGCGAGCCGUCGGGAGCCGUCCUGGACGCUGCCGGCGGAGCCUGCGGGAGACCCAGCGCCCCCGGGGUCAGGCCGGGCUCAGAGAGGCUGCGGCCCGAGGCUGCCGCGCCGUUUCCCGGGCGCGGUUCUCUUCUUCGGCCCUUCGUGGAAGCAGCGGCCUUCGCGGGCCCCUGUGCCGCCAGCAGACCGGGCCCCCUUGGCGGUACAUCUCCUGCUCAGCCAUCCUCAGAUGGAAGUCUGCUCCUCAUCUGUUCCUGCCCAAAAGCCUGUUCAAGUCUUGAGGAGCCGUCCUCGAUGCUGCUGGCGGAGCCUGAGUGAGACCCAGUGCCUCCGGGGUCAGGCCUGA
rnacentral:lncRNA from 1 species